AAAUGGGUGGCGUAAUUAAUUAGCGUGUACGAUUUCGGCUCGUAAGGAGUAAAGUUUACCUCAUUUU
rnacentral:tRNA from 1 species